AGUGCUGAACUGUGCAGUACAAGAAGUGGGAGAAUAAGUUUCACCAUUAUGAUGAGCAAGCAAAGUUGCUGAAAGUCUAAAUCCAGCCAGAAAACAUUCGUUCUACUCAAAAGAGACUUCACUGAUUCUACUACAGCAGUGGUGCAAAAAACACCCGUGUGAAAGGACCCAUUGAAGCACAAGGAUUGUUACAGCUACAGACAGUGAAGCACGGGAGAUAUUGUGUAGCAACUGCAAGGGACUUGGACCAUUGCGUAUUUCUCUGAUAGUUUGAUAACCUUGGCUGACAGAACAGCCUAUUUCCCACCUUCAGCCUUUCUAACCAACAUAAUUGGUUUCCCUGUCUCCAGAAAGACAGCUACAAAAUAUUGCAAGCAAGCUAUCUUAGCAAUAAGAAUGAAGACAACCUAUUUGCAAAGACAAGCUGUAGAAAUACCUCUACACUAGCAGAAAUAGAAUGUUAAACUGUUAGGAGAGUUCACGCACUAAUAUCAAACAGUGUACUUGUGUGUUUUUAAUAUACUAAGUUAAUCUGACGAAGAGUCACUUAACAGACAAAGUAAAAAAGUGGAAAUAAACAGCACUCAAAAAUA